rnacentral:rRNA from 1 species
UCAAUCUCGUGCGGCUAAGUGCCGCUUGUCCCUCUAAGAAGAUAAACGCCCAGAGCACUAAGGAUCCGGGCGACUAGUUAGCAGGUUAGAGUCUCGUUCGUUAU